UUGUUUGUUUGGUUUCUCUUCUUAAUUAUUUUGUUUUCCUCUCUUGACUGUUGACGGCGCUCCACUAUUCAUUCCUUCUUUAUUCUUAUUCUUUUUGGUAUGUUCCUUUAUUGAGUUCAGAAAUCAGUUAACUAUAUAGCAGAUUCUGACAUUUCAAACUUAUUCUCAGGAUGCAUCUAACUAUCACGAUGAGCUGAGAGAAAUUGCGCCCCACUCUCUUUUGAAAUGCUUAAGUGAUGCAACAACCUUGGGAAUCAGGGUUCAAGUGAGGUGUGUGUAUAUUGAGGGCCGGAGUCAGCCUUCAAAGGGUUGCUAUUUCUUUGCAUACAGAAUACGAAUUACCAAUAACUCAGAACGCCCUGUCCAACUUCUUAGAAGACAUUGGAUUAUAACCGAUGCCCAUGGAAAAACUGAGAAUGUCUGGGGGAUUGGUGUUAUUGGUGAACCACCAUCCAUUUUCCAAGCUGCUGCCAUUCGUGGGUGUUGUUUCUAAUUUUUCUUCUCUGAUGUGUUGUAAAUCAUUAAAGCAGAAAGGCAGAAAGAGACCAUGGCUUCUCCUUCUCCUUCUCACCUCACAGCUAUCCCACAACACCUCUCAAAACCCUCCCUUUCCCAAUUAAACUCGAAGCUAGUCGAGCUCCGUGUGAGGUCGAGUUUGGAAAAUGAGAGCAGUGGCACUGAGGAUUCUGGUCACUCAUCAUCAAAACCUCUGAAGAGAACACUUUGAGGAAAAUGGUUUGGAAAAAGAUCCAACAAGGAGCUCUCACGAUAUUUCUCUGACCGGCCUUAUCAUCAACAAGGCAUUGUUAAAGAAAGGUGCAAAGUAUUCAAAAUCUCAGUGCUCUUGCUGAUCACUUUUCAUGCC